CUAUUUCAUCUGAAACGUCGUUCACCUUACAUCUGAAACCCUUCUCCUUCUCUGAGUUGUUUCUCUACUGAAACGCUUUUCACUUUAUAUCUGAAACCCUUCUCCUUCUCUGAGCAGUUUCUCUAGGGUUUCGAAUAUAUAAAAUCAGCCAAGGAUUCGCAUUCUUCCUCAGAGGAUUUCAUGUAUCUGACCAUCUCUGCUUCAGUCAAGGAUCCGCUGCAAUCAGGAUUGACAUGGGAAUUCAGGGCUUCCGCAAUCUCCAUGUCCGCUUGGAAGUCAGGAUUCGCAUGAAGAAAUAGAGGCUUUAAAUUGCUUCACGUUCUUCUUUUCUUCAUUUUCUCUCUAGGGUUCCGAAAUUGACAGAUUUGGGAGAGAGGCUUUCUGCAAUUUUUCAGUUUUGGGUGCUGCAAUUUCACCUUCGCAGGUUGCAAUGCUGAGAUUUAGGGGUAAUAAUUUCCCCCGUUCUUAAAUUCAUGGAAUGCAUUAUAAUUAGGGUUUGAUGGAACAAGACCUAAGUAAGUGAGAUGUGAUAAAAUGGCAUCCGCCAUCUCUUGAAGUCACAUCUCAGCAAGCUACUAUUAAUAUCAGUUAUAUCACUGUUAAUGAAGACUGUGGGAGGGCCCUUUUCUAUUGGUUCUUUGAAGCUAAAUCUGAAUCGUGCAAAAAGUCUCUACUUCUCUAGCUCUAUGGAAGUCUGUGGUUAUCUAUUUGCUAAAUAUAUACUGAUUCUGGAGAAGCAAAUAUUCCAUCCAUUCUAGAUUAUGUGAGAACUUCCAUUGAGUGAACUAAAUAUCAAGGGAGCUUCCUUAUCCAACCAACUUAUGAGGUGAAAGAACAAUCCCUGCUCCAUCAGAGGAGCUAUCAGAAAAUUAGAGCACCGCAUGGCUCUCAUUCUUCACCAUAGCAAUACAAACACCAAUCGCUCCAUAGUCCAUCAAGUUGUUGUUACAAACACAUAACACUUUGAUCGGUUCCUCAAGUUGAACCUGUCCUCCAAGCCAGCUUCCCUGUGCUUCUGUUUUAGACAUCCAAAUGGUUCAAUUUCUUCUCCUCUACCAUCCGAACGGUUUCUCAAGUUUAACCUGUCUUCCAAGCCAGGUUCGCCUCCCCUUUUACCCAGAUGGUUUUCGAUCGCUAAGGUUUAGGAUCCCCUCCAUGCUUCUGUCGCUUUGACCUGCCACCUUCAUGGCCUGGAUCAGAUGAGUAACUCUGUUGUUGUUCACUUCCUUUCCUUCUUUGGUUUCAUUUUGUGUUUCACCACCAUAAUGAUUAUUUUGGUAUUUAUUGAUGAGACUCCCUUCUGCAUUCUCUGAAACCAGGGCUUGCAGGGUCAAAAAUUAACCCCUUUCAGAGACCAGAGAAAUGGUUUGAUGGUGGCAGUGUAUUGGUCAUGUGAUGCCCAGAUCACUGGUGCGUACACAGGCAGCGCAGAGAUGUAAGUGGAGGUGCUUAUUUCACUAUCCUCCAAUUUACACACAACUUUAUGGGAAAACACUGUCCCAGAUGGCGAGAAAAAUGAAAUCAGAGAGAACCAAAGAUGAAGAGAAGAUCCUUCUUCAUGCAUAGUGCAUUGAGAAGAUCCUUCUUCAUUUCCUUCCUACUAUUAGAAACUUUGAUAAGAUCCAUCUUAAUGCUAUGUAUAUCUUUUCAACUUUUGAGUUGUAAUGAAGGGAUUUUUUUAAAGUGUGUUUUCUUUGCCUUAAUGUUUUUAGGGUGGGUUUUAAGUCAGCUGUAGAAAUUUCCUGUUUUAGUUAUUAUGUGAGUAAAGAAUUUGUAAAUCACAUAUUUAAUAUUUAUGGAAGUAUGAAAAUAAGGGGUGUUUUCAAAUUGGCA